UUUCCUGUCACACCAGGAAGCUGCACUGCCGACUGGUAUUGAACAGCCACCAUCUGCAUAUGUGAGUUGCCAGCCUUUUCAGCUCAUUGCUUCUCCACGUGGCCACAAGAUUGUCAUGACCUCUACACAGCUCAGCCUUGGAUGGAACUUCUUACAGAAGCCCAAGUUCUGAAGGAGUGUCCCGCAGACCCGUGACUCCUGCCGCAGUCAGCAGG